rnacentral:misc_RNA from 1 species
CGCACAUUGCGCCCAUUAGUAUUCUAGUGGGCAUGCCUGUUCGAGCGUCAUUUCAACCCCUAAGCACAGCUUACUGUUGGGACUCUACGGCUUCGUAGUUCCCCAAAGACAUUGGCGGAGUGGCAGUGGUCCUCUGAGCGUAGUAAUCUUUUAUCUCGCUUCUGUUAGGUGCUGCCCCCCCGGCCGUAAAACCCCCCAUUUUUUCUGGUUGACCUCGGAUCAGGUAGGAAUACCCGCUGAACUUAA